rnacentral:lncRNA from 1 species
UUAACAAAGAACUGUGGAAUAUUUCUAGCCAAAAGCCACUGGGGAACUGAUUCCUGCCAACAACCACUGAACUUCGAAGUAGAUCCAUCAGCAACUGGACCCUCAGAUGCGACCCAUGUAUGACACCUUGAUUGGGAUCCUGUGAGAGACCCUCAGGCAGAGCACCUAGUUAAGUCAAACUCAGAUCGCUGACUCCCAGAAACUGUAAGCACUCUCCUGCAUACCUGUCACCAAACCUCCAGGUCAAUCUCACAUUUACUCUUGAAGAAAUGGAGUCGAAGAUGAAAUAGAAAAUAAUUAGAUAAUGAAAUGCUAAUAUAGGAAUUGAAUGUCAGCUGCAGUGCUCAGAA